AUUGAACGCUGGCGGCAUGCCUUACACAUGCAAGUCGAACGGCAGCACGGGUGCUUGCACCUGGUGGCGAGUGGCGAACGGGUGAGUAAUACAUCGGAACAUGUCCUGUAGUGGGGGAUAGCCCGGCGAAAGCCGGAUUAAUACCGCAUACGAUCUACGGAUGAAAGCGGGGGACCUUCGGGCCUCGCGCUAUCGGGUUGGCCGAUGGCUGAUUAGCUAGUUGGUGGGGUAAAGGCCUACCAAGGCGACGAUCAGUAGCUGGUCUGAGAGGACGACCAGCCACACUGGGACUGAGACACGGCCCAGACUCCUACGGGAGGCAGCAGUGGGGAAUUUUGGACAAUGGGCGAAAGCCUGAUCCAGUAAUGCCGCGUGUGUGAAGAAGGCCUUCGGGUUGUAAAGCACUUUUGUCCGGAAAGAAAUCCUUGGCCCUAAUACGGUCGGGGGAUGACGGUACCGGAAGAAUAAGCACCGGCUAACUACGUG
rnacentral:rRNA from 1 species